AAAGAUGUAGCCCAUAAUCUAGCAGAUUCUUCUCUCUCCCUCAACUGGUUCAUAAGCUUAAUCCUUAUAUCCUCAAGCAUGUUUAUGAUUGGCUUUUGUCUAGCUUGUAAAAUCCAUGCAUUUACAGAUUCCACGAAAUUAUUUUCAACUCUUUGGUUCUUACACACUGUGUCAAAAUAGGCUCUACACCAUGCUUGAGGAGGAUAUUUAAGUAAAGCUUCAGCAGCUUCCUUAUCCAGUUUGCCUAUGCUCUUCAACUGGUCCUUG
rnacentral:lncRNA from 1 species